rnacentral:tRNA from 1 species
GCCUCAGUAGCUCAGCUGGAUAGAGCGGCGGCGUCCUAAGCCGCGCGUCGGGGGUUCGAGUCCCUCCUGGGGCGCCA